CUGCAUCUCCUGUAGCAUUUUCAUGAGUCUUUGAUAGUUGAAAAAUGAAGUUUUGUGUCAUGCAACUUUGACAUGAAUAACAGAGUUAGAAUUUUACAAGAGAUGGGAAAAGGAAAAACCAACCAGACUGCUUAUGUGUAGAAUGGCGACAUUUUGAAAUUGAUGGAAUUAGGUCAUGGCAUCAAGUACAAUUCAAGGUGUUGUAAGGCAUUUGGAGUGGCCAACUCUGCUCAUGUGUCAGUAUCUGAGGCUACCAUGAGUCUUGGAGCAGAACAGCCGUCACUGGUACAACACCUUUCUUCUUUCUGAAGACUCCACUCUCCUUGCACAGAUUCUGUGACUGAAUCACCUGUGCAAUGUCAGCUGAGACAUAAAACCUGCCUCACACAUGUGCAGGAAGCCGGACACCUGCAGUUUGAGAACUCCAUUUGGAAGCCUGA
rnacentral:lncRNA from 1 species